GUAGUCUAUCCUAUGGCAAGGCAAAGAAUAGAAAGCUCUACUGUCCCAGGAAGACAUGACGGCAGGAUGAAAGCACCUAACGAAGAAGACAGCAGAAAGCUGAUCCGAUCAGGUACAAGGCCAGAUUCAGGAAAUGAAAAGGUGAAGCAGCUACAACCAUCCGAAAGAAAGGUGCUGUUCAGGGGGAAGGACACAUCCCAGACCAACAACCUCAGCUCAGCUGUGACAUUCAGAUGCAGGAUUCUACCUAUUACUCAGUAUAUCAAAUUUCAAGCUUUGUAUCAUACUGUGCAACUAGAAGGAAAAUCUGGAGAACUGCAACAUUUAUAAGUCUGCCAGGCGCUCGCGGAGCCGGCCCAGCCCGACCUGAAAGAAAACAGCCCACCCACUUUAGAGAACCUCCUGGUCAGCUGUCACCUGGAAGCAGGCCGACAGUCUUUUGACUUUAGAGACAGCGCUCAAAAGACCAAAAAUUGAUUAUAGUUGGAAUCUUUGUUGCUCACUGUGGUACAGCAAGCCUUCCCCUUAGUUCACAAGUUAAUCUCUUAAAAACUGCUCAUAAAGAAGUGAACACUUAAGAAAGAUAAAUAGAAAGAAGCAGAGUGCCACUGGGAUAGGAGGGAUUUGAGUAUAAUUUUCUUAUUUUAUCAUCAGCUGUGGCACAAGCAGGUAGGCUUUAAUUAGCUCAACUGUCUAGGAAUAUUCUAUUUACUAUUUCUAGGUAAGUGAAACAUAAUGAGCUCCACUGGUUUUGAAUAUAUUUCAGAUGUUUUCAUUACUUUCUUGCCUGGGUGUAUUAACAUCAUUUUAUCCUUCUCUGGUGAGUGCCUGCUCAGUACCCCAGGUCCUGGCAACACACAUCAACCCUAACAGAAUACCAUACAACCAGACCAUGAAGGACAUAAAUGAGAUCCUGACACAUGUUCAGUAUGAGUCACUGAUCUGAAUGAGCCCUGAUAAAAGGGUUCCUGGGGC
rnacentral:lncRNA from 1 species